UUUUUUUUUUUUUUUUUUUUUUGCUCAGGGUUUCCGAAGAUUGAGUCUACAGAUAGCUGACUCCAAGUCAGGAACAUCAGGAUGAGAGGCCAUGGCAGAAAAGAGAUGCUCAGUUCAUUGCGGACAGGAAGCAGAGCAGUGGGAUGGUGCCAGUGGAGAAGGGGCCGGGGACCAGAUGUAAGCCUCAAGAUCAGACUUCCGUUUCACACCCCUAACACAUCAAGAGAUACAUUCUGCAAAGAGUUAUUUGCCACCUAUUACAUGCAAUCUGCCAAAAGAAGGCCAGAAGGAACACAAAACCCCACCUGUUGUCUCUGAAAUACUGGGGGAUUUCUAUCGGGGACACUCUUUUUGCAGCUAAAGUGAAAAGGCUGUAUUAAUUCAAAAUGUCAACAUGGUGAA
rnacentral:lncRNA from 1 species